UGCCGUGCGAGCGCUGGCGGCGGUGACGGUUGCGCAGUGCCGCUACAUCCGGGCACUGGGGCAGGAUGAAUGCUCCUUUCCAAGAUGGCGGCGGAGGGAGGAGGGAAGGAGAUGAACGAGAUUAAGACUCAGUUCACCACCCGGGAGGGGCUGUACAAGCUGCUGACCCAUUCGGAGUACAGCCGACCUAACCGGGUGCCCUUCAAUUCACAGGGCUCCAACCCGGUCCGCGUUUCCUUCGUCAACGUCAACGACCAGAGCGGCAACGGGGACCGGCUCUGCUUCAAUGUGGGCCGGGAGCUCUACUUCUACAUUUACAAGGGGGUCCGCAAGGCUGCGGACUUGAGUAAACCAAUAGACAAAAGGAUAUACAAAGGAACACAACCUACAUGCCAUGACUUCAAUCACUUAACAGCCACAGCAGAAAGUGUCUCUCUUCUAGUGGGCUUCUCUGCAGGCCAGGUCCAACUUAUAGACCCUAUUAAAAAAGAAACUAGCAAAUUAUUUAAUGAGGAAAGACUAAUAGACAAGUCCAGAGUAACCUGUGUAAAAUGGGUACCAGGUUCGGAAAGCCUUUUCCUAGUAGCUCAUUCCAGUGGCAAUAUGUACUUGUAUAACGUGGAGCACACUUGUGGUACCACGGUCCCGCACUACCAGCUACUUAAACAAGGAGAAAGUUUUGCAGUACACACUUGCAAGAGUAAAUCUACAAGAAACCCUCUGCUUAAAUGGACAGUAGGUGAGGGUGCCCUGAAUGAAUUUGCCUUUUCCCCAGAUGGGAAGUUCUUGGCGUGUGUGAGCCAGGAUGGUUUCCUUCGUGUGUUUAACUUUGAUUCAGUGGAAUUGCAUGGUACAAUGAAAAGCUACUUUGGAGGACUGCUGUGCGUGUGUUGGAGUCCUGAUGGGAAAUACAUAGUGACAGGUGGAGAGGAUGACUUGGUAACAGUAUGGUCUUUUGUGGACUGUCGAGUAAUAGCGAGAGGCCACGGACAUAAGUCAUGGGUCAGUGUUGUUGCAUUUGAUCCAUAUACCACUAGCGUAGAAGAGAGUGACCCGAUGGAAUUUAGUGGAAGUGAUGAGGAUUUCCAAGACCUUCAUUUUGGCAGAGAUCGAGCAAAUAGUACUCAAUCUAGGCUAUCCAAAAGGAACUCUACAGACAGUCGUCCAGUAAGCGUUACGUAUAGAUUUGGUUCCGUAGGCCAGGACACACAGCUUUGUUUGUGGGAUCUUACAGAAGAUAUCCUCUUCCCCCACCAACCUCUCUCAAGAGCAAGGACACAUACAAAUGUCAUGAAUGCCACAAGUCCACCUGCUGGAAGUGGUGGAACUAACCCAGGAAGUAAUGGAAACAGUAUCACAACACCUGGAAACUCUGUACCCCCUCCUCUUCCACGGUCAAACAGCCUUCCGCAUUCUGCAGUCUCAAAUGCUGGCAGUAAAAGCAGUGUCAUGGAUGGUGCCAUUGCUUCUGGCGUUAGUAAAUUUGCAACCUUAUCACUACAUGAUCGAAAGGAAAGACACCAUGAAAAAGAUCACAAGAGAAAUCAUAGCAUGGGACAUAUAUCUAGCAAGAGCAGUGACAAACUGAACUUAGUUACUAAAACCAAAACGGACCCAGCUAAAACUUUGGGAACACCUCUCUGUCCCCGAAUGGAAGAUGUUCCCUUGUUAGAGCCUCUUAUCUGUAAAAAGAUAGCACAUGAAAGACUGACUGUGUUAAUUUUUCUUGAAGACUGUAUAGUCACUGCUUGUCAGGAGGGAUUUAUUUGCACAUGGGCAAGGCCUGGUAAAGUGGUAAGUUUUAAUCCUUAAUGCUGCAUCAAAGAACUAGAACUCUGAAUAGGUAGUUUUCUUGAAAUAUAAAUGAAUGUUGACUAUAAAAUUUCUUUAUGCUUAAUGUAAAAAAAAAAAAUCCUCAGAGCCAUACUUUUGGAUACUGCAUGCCAUAUUUCUGAAUGAUUUGAAGUGUCUUGGAUACAAUUAAGUAUAGUUGCCUUCCAGCAGAAGAAAUAAAUACUGUGCAUCUAAACUAUUGAUCAGUGUUCUUAUACUUAAGCAUAACCACAAUAUGGUGAAAGCUGUUUAUGUGAAGAUUGAAGUAAAACCUGUCCAUCACUAAAAUAAUGAUAAUCCUUCUAAUGUUUUCUACAAAAUACAACACUUCUAGUGAGAGUAGCUUGUGAAAAGCUGCGGCUUUUAAGUCUAAUGAGAAAUAUGAGCCUCUGAAAAAAAUUAAAACCAAAGUGUUUAUUCGUCUAUCCUUUUCUGUGGUGGCCUGCCUUUAAUGUAAAAUCACUUCUUAUUAAAGCAUCAGUCAUUUUAUGCACAAAUUUGCUAGCCCUUUACUGACUGUAGCUUAUGCUCUUGAAAUUGUGACUCGGUAUAAUCAAAGAACUCUAAUUUUAGCCAGGUCUUGAUUUAUGUAUUUGUUAAAUUAGGGAAAACCAUGCCAGCUUUCUCUGAGUAGUUUCAGUUACUGUCGGUUUUGUUAGGCAGUUUGAUCAUCAACAAACUUGUGUUUUUUGAUGGCACCUAUUCUAUCAGUUGAACCCUCAUUAAGAUAUGCUACAAGUUUUAAAUCGUGUUGUUAAAUGCACUUGAACACAGAUAAAACUUCAUUUUACUUCUGUCCAAUGCAUAGCAAGCUAAAUUUUGAAUGAAGCUAACCAUAGUGAUUAUUUUGUUAAAAAGUACUUUGUGCUACAAUAGCUCUUUUUGCCAGCAACAUUUUAAAGGAAUACAGCUAUGAAAGCAUCACCAGAGUUGAUCUACCAAAAAACACUGUUAUUUUUGUGAAAAUGUAGGUUAUCACCUGAAGAAAAUUAAGUAAUCUGCUAAUAGCUGUGUUGGGCAGCCUAAAUGAAAAUCUGCUGUUCAUUAGGUUCAUAAAGCUUUUAACCAUUUGGUUCAUAAAUCUGACUUUUGAAGUGGAGGUACUGUAUAUAUUUAUAUACCACAUCUUCAUUGAUAGAAGCUUUUUAGUAAAACUCGGUAAUUUUUCUUAAACUUGUUCGUAUAGUGUAAUUAUCUUUGAGAUGUUAUCAAAUUUGUCACAACACAGGUAUGCACAGAGCUAUGUCUGCUCUGCAUCUUAAUGCAUAGUUGAAGGCUGAAUCUAAACCUAAAAGUUGUAAGCCCUUUUUUGGGGAGAAGGAAGAAGAGUGUUACCUAAAACUAUUUUUUGCCUCACAACCACAGAGCCAGCAUUAAUUUAGUAAAAAAAAAAAAAAAAAGAGCAUCCCCCAAAAUACUGAACUAUUUAAAAUGUUUGUCCUGAAUGCAAAUGCUAAGGCAGUUACCACUUCUGUGACUUGGUGCAAUUCAAGUCUCAUGAAUUAACUUUAUAAAUGUACAGCACUGCUUCAGAUUUCCAGUGUGCCCUAUAUUUUCCUUUUGUUCUAAAACUCCUUUAUGUACUACUAAACAGUACGCUGUUAAAUUACUUCCAGUGGCUGAGGUGGGCUUUGUUAGGCUGGGUAUAACUUAAAUAUUUUUGUGUGUUGACUUUGAUUUGGAAUAUGACAUUUCAAAUAUUUCAGAGAUAAAGUAUGCAGUACCAAAAAUCAGGAUUUAUGUAUUGGCCAAUGUGGAAAACUUUAAUUACAGAGUGAAAGCCUCUGAAUCUUGCUGCUUCUUCCAUCAUUGCCUCUGAAGGCCUUCAUUAAAUUCAUGCCACUGCCAGUCUAAAGAAAGAAUUGGAUGGAAAACUGAAGCAGGCUUGCAGUGUCCAACAUAAUUUCCAUUGAGCCAGCGCUACCUUUCUCUCUCAUUUUGAAUAGCCAUCAAAAGAUGUGCUGGAUAAUUGGACAGUGUAUGACAAGUUCUCUUCUGGUUGGGUUGUUGCUGCCCUUAGUGGGGAGGUGACGGGGGAGAAAUAAAUGUCUCUUCAGAUGUCAUCCUUAUGAUAUUUAUUAGGCUGUACAGCCCUUACAGAGGGGCCUGACAGUUGGUUAUAAACUUUUCUAAAUUGCUUUGUGUAUACAUAAUCAUACCUUGAGCUUCCUCACUGGAUAUACCAUUCUUGCAUUGCACUUCCAGAACUGCUGUACUAACGCCCACUCAGAGUGAGGUGAAUGGCAAAAUUCAAUUAGAAACAAGGUGAAUGAGGCUAAGGGUUCAUUAGUUCCAGUUUUUACUCUUGUUUUUUGUAGCCUGUGUCUAUGGAAGAAUGUUCAGGGUGGUGAGAAAAAUAGAUUGCCUUAGCAAGAGUAAGAACUUUCUUCUCAACAUGGUAACAAUUAGCUGUUGCCUCCUUCCCCCCCCCCCCCCCCCCCAUCUUUCUUAGGCCCUGCUGAGAACUCUAAAUGGGAUUAUAGAAUGGGAUUGUAUUCAUUUGAAAACACAGAAAAGUAAUUUUAAAGCAACCAAGGUAAACUUCAUGUGCUAUCUUUAUAGCUACUUCAGACUGAGUUACAGGACUUGCAGAAGCAAUUAAAAACAACCCCACUCAGAAACAACUCGCAGAACUCUGAAAAAACCAAAGUGGUACCUGGAUAUGCAAAACAAGCUUUCUCUGAACUUAGCAAUCAGAGGAACUAUCUAUGUGAUUCCUGUGUUUGACUUCAGAAUUAACUAUUGAUCAUCUUGUACAGUGACUCCAUGUUAUCUAAGUGAAACUUGCUGAUGAGUUUCCUUUGUAAGAAAGCUCAAGGUAAGAUUGGCCAGAGAAUGAACAGGUGAAAUGGCAGUGUAUAACCUGGCAAGAUAAACAUGCUACCAUUUUGUAAAACAAAUGCACAUGGAAUUUAUUUAUUUGAUUUAUUGUACAGGAGAUCUUAGACUUAAAUUAUAACAUCCUUGAAUUUUCUAGUUAACUACAACUGUAGUACAGUAUCAUGUUUUAGUAUGACUUCUGUUUUAGUGAAAGUACUUAAACAUUCAUGUACUAUAUUUGAGUGAGAUGAGCAGCUAUACAUACUAAUUCUUCCUGAGUGGAAAGGAUCAUUUCAUCAUUACAAUUGAAGUUCAAUUGCUGGUAUUUAAGUACUAUCAAAUAGAGUUCUUUCAACGUGAUACGGUAUCUGUAUAAACUUCAGGGAUGAUUAUAGUAAAACUGAAACACAGCUAUAUGACUUCAGGUUACCAAGCUAAAAUUUGAGGCUUUCUGUAAUGUGCAUAAUAGCAAAGUUGCACAUAGCAUACCUGCAUUGUCAGGGUGAAUUUAAACCUAGAACACUGGUGUGAUAUUUAUAGCAAGGUAUGUGUAUUUAUAGCAGGGCAUGUGCGUGAGGAGGUGUGACUAGUGGCUUGAAUACAGCCAGGAGAGAUCAUAACCCUGUAAAGGCUUUAUGAUGAGGAUGUCUGGAUUAGGAAAUAACAUUACUUUUACUAAACACGUUUUAGAAAACCCAUGUUCUGAAUUAUCACCUAUUCAAAAUAUGUACUUGGAAUGACUGUAUACAUCUGCCCCUUUAACAACAUAAAGCUACUAAAUUAAUAUUUAAAAUGCUGGCCUGCUUAUGUUACAGUAAUAAAAUUUGUGUCAGUUAACUUACUGUCAAUUUACGUGUAAAGAUUAAACAAUAUUUUUUUUGCAUUUUAUGAAUUCUGUAUACUGAGUUUGUUAAAGAUUGACAUGUUAGGUGAUACUGUACAAAAUUGUAUUGACUACCUUUAGUGAAAAUCAGAAGUAAAAUUCAUAUGUAUUUCCUUUUUACACUUCCAUCUAAUUUCUUGACAACUUGAAUAAAUUUCAUAGAGCCUUUCUAACAUGAACUAUUGUUAAUUUAACUGUUGCAAUAAUUAAGCUUUAAGAAGUAUUGUUGGUAUAUUUAUAAUUUUAAGAAGAUCAUGUUUGUUUCAUACUGCUUAUUUUUAGCUGUUCUGUUGUCACUGUUACAGCUGAAGAACUUUACUAAAUACUUGACAUUACAAAAUAACUUGCUGGGGUUGUCCUCUGUAUACUGAUGUUAAAUAAAAAUGUGUGAUUGAACUGUAAA